AGUGCAAUUGCUGGGUCAUAUGGUAAGAGUAUGUUGAGUUUUGUACAAAACUGCCAAAUUGUCUUCCAGAGUGGCUGCACCAUUUGUAUUCCCACCAGCAAU
rnacentral:pre_miRNA from 1 species